GUGACAAGCAGGAAAUCGCUCUCUUCUCUUUUCCUCUCUGCAGAGAUGCUGAACAGUGGAGAUGUAAGACCAUGUAAGACCCUGUAAGACCCUGGAUCCUGUCUUUGUUUCAGACGUAUGUGCCCCCGUCACAGCAUGGUGAUCCGACAAGCACGUCCUCCCGUGAGUCUGCUCAGUACGUGAGACACAGAAGCAGAAAGGCCGCAUGACCUGCAAAGAGCGCCUUACAGGAGGAAGCAGUGGUUGCCAAGCCCAGGAACUGCAGGUCACCAGUUCACUGACUGCUUAACAUCAGGGCGCCCCCAUAGUUGACAUACGGAUUUGGCCGCAUCCUCCUCCUCAGAAACGCAGCCCGAACUUCAUCCCAUCCAGGUGGGAGCCUGGCACAAUCAUCAUUAUUCAAGAGACCACAACCAGCAACUGACAAAACAGAUGCAGAGACUCACAGCCAACAGCUGGGCAGACCUCAGUGAAUCCUGUGGAAGAGGGGGAGAAAGGAUGGAUGGUAGGAGCCAGAGGGAGCAAAUACACCACAAGAAAACACACAGAACCAACAAACAUGGACUCAUAGGGGCUCACAGAGACUGAACUGACAACCCGGGAGUGUGUAUGGGUCCUCUACAUAAAUUUUAUAGUUGUACAGCUUGGCGUUUCUGUGGGACUCCUAACAGAGGGAUCAGGGGCUGUUUCUGAUGCUGUUGCCUGCUUUGGGGAGAUUCUUUUCCUCAUAAUGGGUUGCCUUACCCAGCCUUAAUAUGAAGGGAGGUGCCUAGCCUUAUUGCAACUUGAUAUGUCAUGUUUGGUUGGUAUCCCUGGGGGUCUGGCCGCUUUCUGAAGGGAAAGAGAGGAAGAGUGGAUGGAGAAGAAAAAGGUGUUCUUGGGGGGGGACUUGGAGGAGAGAAGGGAGGGAAAAGUUUGGUCAGAUGUAAAAUAUGAGAGAACGAAUUUUAAAAAGUCAGUGUUCAGACCCUGCUCCAGCAGGGGUUUGUGCCGCCUUCCCUGUCAAUCCAAGACGUUUUAAGCAAAUCAUUUCAGAACCUGAGUUCACAUUGCACAGCCUUGGUCAAUUCUGCGGCUCGUGUCUUGUGGUGAUCCCUGGAAAUGUCGUAGAAAUCAAAAGAAUUUUAACUUAAUAUUGAAGGCCUGAUUGCCAAUGAAACUAAAUAAUGCGCAAUGUGUUUAGUUUACAGGCAAAAGGUUUACGGGAACACGCACAGUCAUUAAGAUGAGAAUGUGUUUGUCUUUCAUGGUCCAUGACAUCUCCGUUCUAAGAGGGAGUCGCUGAGAUGGUGAGAUAAAAGUCACAGCUGUGCAAAUGGCUGUUUGUAUAAAAGAAGAGUAAGCCGGGGGUGGUACAGUGUAGUUUAAAAUAUUCCCAGGUGUGGGACUGCAGAGACAGUCAUUAUCUGAGAGGACCAGAGUCUGUCUCUUAGCACCCACCUCAGACAGCUCACAUGUACGCGUAGCUCUGCUCAAGGUGACCUAGCACCCUCUUCCAGCUCAUCAAACACCUGAGCUCUCGUGUACAUGCCCUCACACAGAAUCCACACGUGCAAACAUAAUGGAAACUCAAACAAACCUUUAAAAAUAUACUCCCAAAUACAAUAAACCUGUACAAAUUAAACAGCCAAGCAGAAAAAUAAUGAAACCCGUGGCUAGAUUUAAGCUAAUUUUCGUAUUGACUUAGUCAUAUGUGCAUAUGUAUGUAUGUGGCACAUGUAUGAAGCUUUGUGUACAGGCCACCUCUAGUGACAUUCCUUGGGGACUAUACACAUCCACCUUUUUACUUUGUUGAAACAGAAUGUAUCACUGGCCUGGAACUCAAGAAGUAGAUUAGGCCAAAUGGAUCUAUCUUUCCCUCCCCACUGUUGGUAUCAUAAAUGUCUUCCACUCCCCACUGUUGCUAUUACAAAUAAACACCAC